UUACUACUCCCUCCGUUCCAAAUUACUCGUCACAGAAAUGGAUGUAUCUAGAACUAAAAUACAUCUAGAUACAUCCAUACCUGCGACAAGUAAUUCGGAACGGAGGGAGUAGAAG
rnacentral:pre_miRNA from 1 species